rnacentral:tRNA from 1 species
CCCCCUUUAGUUUAAUUAUUAAAACUCUCCAAUUUCAUUGGUUAAAUGACCUAGGUCAAGGGGGC